CUCUCUUUCUUCAGCAUUGAUUAAAUCUGACAUUUUUGUUCAUCUUGGUUUUUGGUUUGUCUUUGCUUUUUCAUUUUUUAAUAAAUUAGAUGCGAGAAAUAGUUAGCUGGAUUAAUGCAAUCAGUAGCCAAGUCAGCUUGUGACACCAACUACUGGAUUUAUUGAAAAUUGAGCUGCAGACUUGGAUUGUCUUUAAAUUUUGGUGUACUUUAAUCACGUGUGUUGGCUGAAGAAACAGAAGG
rnacentral:misc_RNA from 1 species